rnacentral:rRNA from 1 species
AACGAACGCUGGCGGCGCGCCUAAUACAUGCAAGUCGAGCGAGAAGACGUAGCAAUACGUUUGUAAAGCGGCGAACGGGUGAGGAAUACAUGGGUAACCUACCCUCGAGUGGGGAAUAACUAGCCGAAAGGUUAGCUAAUACCGCGUACGCUCCUUGGACUUCGGUUCAGGGAGGAAAGCGAUACCGUGGGUAUCGCGCUCUUGGAUGGGCUCAUGUCCUAUCAGCUUGUUGGUGAGGUAACGGCUCACCAAGGCUUCGACGGGUAGCUGGUCUGAGAGGACGAUCAGCCACACUGGCACUGCGACACGGGCCAGACUCCUACGGGAGGCAGCAGUAAGGAAUAUUGCGCAAUGGGACGAAAGCCUGACGCAGCGACGCCGCGGUGGGGGAU